rnacentral:lncRNA from 1 species
GGAUGCCUCCGUCACGCCUCUCAAUGUACCGCGCCACGUCCUCCCGGAUCAGCUGGAUGCCGGAGCUGACGCUGUAGGCCCCUGGACUCGGGCAGGACAGGAUGGGAAGUACAGAUGCCUGGAGCAAAGGGGAAGGGAGGAGGCUCAUGGACCCUCCCUGCUCAGAGUUCCCCCCGCUCUACGUCCCUCUGUGUUAAAGGACACAGGCAGGGUCAGCAAAGGUGAAGGCGGGAACACAGGAGGCCGAGAGCCACAGAUACUGCCCAAGAGGAGCCUCCUGAGCGGCCAUCUGAGAGGAAGCCUCUCCCUGCCAAGGACGCCCAACAGGCCCUACCUGGCGAUGAGCAGCUCCACCAGGUGCAGGUGGCCGCAGGUGGCCGCAGCAUGCAGAGGCGUCCAGCACUCACUGUCACAGGCAUUGAUGUUGGCCCCAGCCUCCAGGAGCUGCUGCACCAUCUCUCGGAAAUCAUCAAUGCAGCACUGCAAACCGUGCCACGCCUCCCGGGAGGGCUCCUGUCCACAUGGAAAGAUGCAGGCCAGACACUGCCGGCUCCUCUUUACUCUCUGCUCCGGAGGGAGGCAGGAAGGAGUCUCAAGGGCCACCACAGUGCCUCUUCCCCCAAGACUCCAGAGCACCAGAAGUGGAACCCACACAGCUGGGGCUGCAAGCGUGGGGCACAGGUCAUUUCGGGCAGCGGCCUCCAGAAGGACAACACUGGGAGGGAAGAGGACCUGCUUCAGGAGCCCUUGGCUGGCUGCCUCCUUCCG